rnacentral:tRNA from 1 species
UGCGGGAUCGUCUAACGGUAGGACUGCAGAUUCUGGAUCUGCGUAUCGGGGUCCGAAUCCCUGUCCCGCAG